GGUCAAGCGAACAAGUGCAUGUGGUGGAUGCCUUGGCGAUCACAGGCGAUGAAGGACGCGGUAGCCUGCGAAAAGCCCCGGGGAGCUGGCAAACAAGCUUUGAUCCGGGGAUGUCCGAAUGGGGAAACCCACUCCUUUUGGAGUAUCCAUGACUGAAUACAUAGGUCAUGUGAAGCGAACGCGGUGAACUGAAACAUCUAAGUAACCGCAGGAAAAGAAAUCAACCGAGAUUCCCAAAGUAGUGGCGAGCGAAAUGGGAUGAGCCUUGUACUCUUUAUUUGUAUUGUUAGCCGAACGCUCUGGAAAGUGCGGCCAUAGCAGGUGAUAGCCCUGUAGGCGAAAACAGUAUGAAAGAACUAGGUGUACGACAAGUAGGGCGGGACACGUGAAAUCCUGUCUGAAGAUGGGGGGACCAUCCUCCAAGGCUAAAUACUCGUGAUCGACCGAUAGUGAACCAGUACCGUGAGGGAAAGGCGAAAAGAACCCCGGGAGGGGAGUGAAAUAGAUCCUGAAACCGCAUGCAUACAAACAGUCGGAGCCUCGUAAGGGGUGACGGCGUACCUUUUGUAUAAUGGGUCAGCGACUUACGUUCAGUAGCAAGCUUAACCGUAUAGGGCAGGCGUAGCGAAAGCGAGUCCGAAUAGGGCGUUCAGUUGCUGGGCGUAGACCCGAAACCAGGUGAUCUAUCCAUGGCCAGGAUGAAGGUGCGGUAACACGUACUGGAGGUCCGAACCCACUAACGUUGAAAAGUUAGGGGAUGAGCUGUGGAUAGGGGUGAAAGGCUAAACAAACCUGGAAAUAGCUGGUUCUCUCCGAAAACUAUUUAGGUAGUGCCUCGUGUCUCACCUUCGGGGGUAGAGCACUGUCAUGGUUGGGGGGUCUAUUGCAGAUUACCCCGCCAUAGCAAACUCCGAAUACCGAAGAGUGCAAUCACGGGAGACAGACAUCGGGUGCUAACGUCCGGUGUCAAGAGGGAAACAACCCAGACCGCCAGCUAAGGUCCCCAAAUAUGGCUAAGUGGGAAACGAAGUGGGAAGGCUAAAACAGUCAGGAGGUUGGCUUAGAAGCAGCCACCCUUUAAAGAAAGCGUAAUAGCUCACUGAUCGAGUCGUCCUGCGCGGAAGAUGUAACGGGGCUAAGCCAUAUACCGAAGCUGCGGAUGCGUGCUUGCACGCAUGGUAGGAGAGCGUUCCGUAAGCCUGCGAAGGUGCCUUGUAAAGGGUGCUGGAGGUAUCGGAAGUGCGAAUGCUGACAUGAGUAGCGAUAAAGGGGGUGAAAGGCCCCCUCGCCGUAAGCCCAAGGUUUCCUACGCAACGUUCAUCGGCGUAGGGUGAGUCGGCCCCUAAGGCGAGGCAGAAAUGCGUAGCUGAUGGGAAGCAGGUCAAUAUUCCUGCACC
rnacentral:rRNA from 1 species